rnacentral:rRNA from 1 species
UACGGGGGGAGCAAGCGUUGUUCGGAUUUACUGGGCGUAAAGGGCGCGUAGGCGGCCACCGCAAGUCGGUUGUGAAAUCUCCGGGCUUAACCCGGAAAGGUCAAUCGAUACUGCGGGGCUAGAGUGCAGAAGGGGCAAUUGGAAUUCUCGGUGUAGCGGUGAAAUGCGUAGAUAUCGAGAGGAACACCUGCGGCGAAGGCGGGUUGCUGGGCUGACACUGACGCUGAAGCGCGAAAGCUAGGGGAGCGAACGGG